rnacentral:rRNA from 1 species
CGUGGGGAUCUGCCCAGUAGUGGGGAACAACUCCUCGAAAGAGGAGCUAAUACCGCAUACGGUAGGUAUCGAGGGAUACCAUACUAAAGCCGACGCAAGAAGGCGCUAUUGGAGGAACCUGCGGCUGAUUAGCUAGUUGGUGGGGUAAAGGCCUACCAAGGCGAUGAUCAGUAGCUGGUCUGAGAGGAUGGACAGCCACACUGGGACUGAGAUACGGCCCAG